UGGGUCUCAAACCCAUGAACUGUGAGAUUAUGACCUCAGCCAAAAUCAAGAGCCGAACACCUAGUGGACUGAACCACCCAGCUGCUCCAAAAUUGCUGAGAAUUUUAGUAGAUAAAGUUAGUAUGAGUAAUCAAUAUGAUAUGGUUGCAAAAACACUGUUUUGGCUGUACCAAUGAAUCUGUAGCAGCCAGGGAGAAGAGGUCUUGAUACAGUGUCUGUCAGACCACAUGUGGAGCUUUGUGUUCAGUUCUGGGUGUUGAUUUUGAGACCUGUAGUCAUGGAAGAGCAAUCAGGAACUUGAAAGGGUGUAAAAUAUCUUGAGAAAUGGAUGAGGGCAUCUGGG